GGGCGCGGGUGGGCGUGAAUGGGAAAUGAGCAGAAGGCAAUGGCGGGGAGUGUGUGUGUGUGUGUGUGUGUGUGUGUGUGUUGUGCGUGUGUGGUGAGUGUCAAUACGUGUGUAUGUGUACGUGCUUGUGGCGUGUGGAUGCGCGUGCGUGUGUGCGCGCAAGUGCAUGUGCACGUGUGUGGUGUCUGUGCGCGUGUGUGCACGUGUGUGGUGUGUGUGUGUGGUGUCUGUGCGUGUGUGCACGUGUGUGGUGUGCGCGCUUGCGCACGCGUCUCUGUGUGCACGUGUGUGUGCACGUGUGUGUGCACAUGUGUGUGAGUGUGUCUGUGUGCGUGUACGAUGUAUGGAGGUCACAGGACUUGGGAGGGUCCUGGCCUCAGGUUUGGCUGAAGGCAGCGUUGCACAUGAGCCACCAGCCAACUGCUUCCUCUCUUUCUGAGGCAGGACAGGAGGACAGCAAUCAAGAGGACAUGAGAAACGGAGAGGACCCCUCACAGCCCCCUGUUGGGUUAUGUCUCUUGCUGGAGGGGGCUCGCACUCUAGCAGUACAGAUCUGUUCCUGGUGGGGGAGUCGCACCUCGUUGGAGUCCCACACUCACUCUUCAGAUGGCAUCUGCUCUUCUUCAAAGAAUCCCUGCAUACUAGUGGCUUUUUGGGAAGUUUUCUAUCCGUGCAACCUGGGAAUAGAACUGAGUAUACAGCAAAAGUGUGUGAUUCAGCUCUGCCCAGCACCCACUUUUUUGACCAUAAUAUGAAACAGUCCAAUCUUCACAACAGCCAGUAAUUUGGUUCCCUAAAUCAAGAAAAAGGAUUAUCUAGGCUGCCAAAGUAAACUGUGAGGACUCUUGCUGGGGAGCUCUCGGUAUGGACAGAGACACAAUGACCCCCUGCCUGUCAAACAAAGUCAUUUAGAAGGCAGCAGAAAGGAGGUGUGGAGGUACUCUAUGACGCCAGGCUGAGUUGCAGGCAGCUGGGAGCUGCCUCUUCAUGGGAGCUGAGAACUGACCUCAAGCCUUCUGAAACUGGCUUCCUGUUCAUCCCCUGCCCACAGAGAAGACCACUCUGUCCCACUGAGCUAAGAUCCACA
rnacentral:lncRNA from 1 species